ACCGACUGAGUCACCUAGGCAGACCAUCAUCAUUUUACUUUUAUAGGUGAGGAAACAGAUACAGACAGAAACUAAGUAGCUUGAUGAAAAUUUAUAGGUGGCAGAGCUAGGAUUUGAACUCAGAUAUUUCAGUUCUGGAAUCUGUGCUCUGAACCACUGAGCUUUAUAUCCUCUUGUGCAACUUCCGGAGAUGAUUUACUUACAAUAAUAGCAUGGUUUGACGAAGAGCUUAAUAAAUGUCUGUAUUCCCAUUUCUGGUAAGAUUUGACUUCAAGUCCAGUGCACUUUGUACUUUAUUAAGAGGAAAAGAGCCAAGAGCUUCUAAGGAAAUGAAUUGCUUUUUCAAAGCCAAGAAUUAUAGAUGUCAAUUUAAAUUUCCAUAGUUUUGUGAAUUCCAUAAAUUAAAAAGGGCAUUUUCUAUCUGAAGAUUUUACAAGUUUGGUUAUGCAUGUGAUUCUCCAACCCCUUUGAAAGAUGUAGUUACCCCAUUUGACACUAUCUUUCUCACUGAUUGUGUAAUUCCUGAGUUUCGUUGUAUUUUCUUAUAAACCAGUUUGACUAAUGUUCUGCAGCUCUAUUUUUUACCUAGUCUCUGCUUUCUGCUAUUGUGGUGGGCUCCUCUUUGUUUGUUUUCUGUUGUUGAGGGCAGGGAGGGGCCUCUCCCCUGUGCUGAUGUCCUUAGGAGGCCACUCUGAGUUUCCCUUCCCCACAGCCUCAGGCUGGCUCUCGCAUAAUAAUAGACAGUGCUGGUAGCCGCCACAGGACCUGGGGAAAAACAUUCCAAUUCUCCUGUCAACUGUGUCUGAAUUUCUUUUUUAAAACAGAAAUCUCUGACAGAUCUCACCAUGGACCUCUGAUUAGCUAGAUGACAUGUAGAUAAGAUUUCAGGACCUACUACAGAAAACGGAAUCCCGGGGUCUGUCACCAGUCUAGUUUUCCUGCUGCAACUUCUUCAUUUGGAUGUGUCAAGAGGGCAAAUCUCUAACAAAGGAACUCCAGCGAGAGCAACUGCAAAGCCCACCACAAGGCAGAAGACACGGUCGGAAAUAGACGUGAUAAUGACAAUAGCAGAGGCUCCAGUGAGAACCAAUGUGUCUAGAAUGUGCACCUCCUUCAGUACCUGUAUACUUCCAGUACUCAUUGCUAUAAGACAUCUUCACAUAGUGAUCUGACCUUGGGCCUUGCCCCUUCGUACCAGCAUGAUGAAUCAGGAGAGCAGACUAUUCUUGGAACCAUUCCUCCACCAGAACAGAGUAGAAAGGAAGAAGAGAUGAGUGAAAGAAAAGUAGGGAGAUGAAGGAAGAAGAAAAUAUAUUGUUUUGAGAUAAUUUCUGUGUACAUCUGUCCUAAAAAAGGAGAUAGGUAAGUGGUAUUUCAUAAUCUUCCUACAGUACCAUAUUCCCACAUUGAUAAAUGAAUAUAUUUAGAAUUUAAGCACAAUGUUGUUUUUUAAAUUUAUUUUCAUUUAUUUAUUUAAUAUGAAAUUGAUUGU